UGGAGGCAGCAGUAAGGAAUAUUGGUCAAUGGGCGCAAGCCUGAACCAGCCAUGCCGCGUGCAGGAUGACGGUCCUAUGGAUUGUAAACUGCUUUUGCACAGGAAGAAACAGCUCUACGUGUAGAGUCUUGACGGUACUGUGAGAAUAAGGAUCGGCUAACUCCGCGCCAGCAGCCGCGGUAAUACGGAGGAUCCAAGCGUUAUCCGGAAUCAUUGGGUUUAAAGGGUCCGUAGGCGGUCUUGUAAGUCAGUGGUGAAAGCCCAUCGCUCAACGGUGGAACGGCCAUUGAUACUGCUGGACUUGAAUUAUUAGGAAGUAACUAGAAUAUGUAGUGUAGCGGUGAAAUGCUUAGAGAUUACAUGGAAUACCAAUUGCGAAGGCAGGUUACUACUAAUGGAUUGACGCUGAUGGACGAAAGCGUGGGUAGCGAACAGGAUUAGAUACCCCGGUAGG
rnacentral:rRNA from 1 species